rnacentral:lncRNA from 1 species
AUUCUCCGGGGACCCUUCCGUAUCUGCAUAGGCAUUUUGCUGUCUCCUCCUAAUACGGAACAAGCACAAUAUAAAAAACAAUUAGAGCAGUUAAACAAGGAUAUCAUACAGCUUCACUAAAUAAGAAGGAACUCACACUUAAAGAUGUGGAUUGUAAAUUCUACAAAAUGAAAACUGCUUAUGAAGAGGUUACAACUGAGUUAGAAGAAUAUAAGGAAGCCUUUGCAGCAGCAUUGAAAGCUAACAGUUCCAUGUCAAAAAAAUUAACUAAAUCGAAUAAGAAAAUAGCAAUGAUCAGUAUCAGCUCUUUAUGGAGAAAGAGCAGCUCUGGAAUGAGUCAUUUUUUUUAGAAGCAGAGGUGGAGCCACUGAGGAAACACAGGUGAGCCCUCCCCAGUGUGUACUCACUGGUCCCCAACAGAAGAACCACUGCCACAUCCA